rnacentral:rRNA from 1 species
AUUGAACGCUGGCGGCAGGCCUAACACAUGCAAGUCGAGCGGAUGAGGAAAGCUUGAUUUUCGAUUCAGCGGCGGACGGGUGAGUAAUGCCUAGGAAUCUGCCUGUUUGUGGGGGAUAACUCGGGGAAACUCGGUCUUAUACCGCAUACGUCAUACGGGAGCAAGUUGGGGAUAUUCGGACCUGAAGCUAACCGAUGAGCCGAGGUCGGAUUAGCUAGUAGGUGAGGUAAUGGCACACGUAGGGCACGAUCCGUAAGUUGUCUGAGAGCAUGAGCAGUCACACUGGAAGUGAGACACGUGCCAGACUCCUACGGUAGGCAGCAGUGGGGAAUAUCGGACAAUGGGCGAUAGCCUGAUCCAGCCAUGCCGCGUGUGUGAAGAAGGUCUUCGGAUUGUAAAGCACUCUAAGUUGGGAGGAAGGGUAUUCACCUAAUACGUGGGUACUUUGACGUUACCAACAGAAUAAGCACCGGCUAACUCUGUGCCAGCAGCCGCGGUAACAC